GACGAACGCUGGCGGCGUGCUUAACACAUGCAAGUCGAACGGAAAGGCCCUGCUUUUGUGGGGUGCUCGAGUGGCGAACGGGUGAGUAACACGUGAGUAACCUGCCCUUGACUUUGGGAUAACUUCAGGAAACUGGGGCUAAUACCGGAUAGGAGCUCCUGCUGCAUGGUGGGGGUUGGAAAGUUUCGGCGGUUGGGGAUGGACUCGCGGCUUAUCAGCUUGUUGGUGGGGUAGUGGCUUACCAAGGCUUUGACGGGUAGCCGGCCUGAGAGGGUGACCGGCCACAUUGGGACUGAGAUACGGCCCAGACUCCUACGGGAGGCAGAAGUGGGGAAUAUUGCACAAUGGGCGGAAGCCUGAUGCAGCAGCUCCGCGUGCGGGAUGACGGCCUUCGGGUUGUAAACCGCUUUCGCCUGUGACGAAGCGUGAGUGACGGUAAUGGGUAAAGAAGCACCGGCUAACUACGUG
rnacentral:rRNA from 1 species